UAGGGAAUCUUCCACAAUGGGCGAAAGCUUGAUGGAGCAACGCCGCGUGUGUGAUGAAGGGUUUCGGCUCGUAAAACACUGUUGUAAGAGAAGAAUGACAUUGAGAGUAACUGUUCAAUGUGUGACGGUAUCUUACCAGAAAGGAACGGCUAAAUACGUGCCA
rnacentral:rRNA from 1 species